rnacentral:rRNA from 1 species
GAUGAACGCUGGCGGCGUGCCUAAUACAUGCAAGUCGAGCGAACAGACGAGGAGCUUGCUCCUCUGACGUUAGCGGCGGACGGGUGAGUAACACGUGGAUAACCUACCUAUAAGACUGGGAUAACUUCGGGAAACCGGAGCUAAUACCGGAUAAUAUAUUGAACCGCAUGGUUCAAUAGUGAAAGACGGUUUUGCUGUCACUUAUAGAUGGAUCCGCGCCGCAUUAGCUAGUUGGUAAGGUAACGGCUUACCAAGGCAACGAUGCGUAGCCGACCUGAGAGGGUGAUCGGCCACACUGGAACUGAGACACGGUCCAGACUCCUACGGGAGGCAGCAGUAGGGAAUCUUCCGCAAUGGGCGAGAGCCUGACGGAGCAACGCCGCGUGAGGGAUGAAGGUCUUCGGAUCGUAAAACUCUGUUAUUAGGGAAGAACAAAUGUGUAAGUAACUAUGCACGUCUUGACGGUACCUAAUCAGAAAGCCCCGGCUAACUACGUG